rnacentral:rRNA from 1 species
CAAUAGCGUAUAUUAAAGUUGUUGCGGUAAAAAAGCUCGUAGUUGGAUUUCUGUUGAGAGCGACCGGUCCAUACCAUGUAUGCGUAUCUGGCUUGCUCUCGGCAUCCUCUCGAUAGACGUUACUGCGCUUGAUUGCGUGGUGCGGAUCUCGGGACUUUUACUUUGAGGAAAUUAGAGUGUUCACGGCAGGCUUUCGCCAGAAUACAUUAGCAUGGAAUAAUACUAUAGGAUCUUGGUUCUAUUUUGUUGGUUUCUAGAAUUGAGAUAAUGAUUAAUAGGGACAAUUGGGGGCAUUCGUAUCAACACGUCAGAGGUGGAAUUCUUGGAUUGUGUUGCGACGAACUACUGCGAAAGCAUUUGCCAAGGAUGAUUUCAUUGA